AGGUGCGAUUGUGUAAAGUUGUUCAUGGAUGGACAAUGAAUACAAUUGAUCAUCGAUCGUAUAUCUAAAUUCGAAUUGUGUAAUUUUGUCCAUUCCAUGAAGACCGAAAAGUGACCGGUCGUAUAUAAUCGUUUCAUGGAUUUGCGUUUUAUUAAUGAAAAACAUUCGCUAAAACUCAUUAUUUUUUAACAAAUAACAAAUGAAAUCCAUGUUCAAAUGCAGUUUUUUUUAAUAAAAUUUUAUGAUUGCACCUUAAUAACAUACUUUUAUUCAUAAAAACAUUGAAUUCGAAUUAAAAAUUUACCUCUGCAAAUCAUAUAACCAAACGCAUAGAACGAAUGAAAUACGAGUUCCACUACCCGCCCCCAGGUGGCAUACAUACUUUAAGGCUAGGCAGGCUAAGUUGAAUACUACUCUACAAUAGGUGGCGUUAAUGGACUACGAAAAACGACGUGAAAUGCUUACUUCUUUUUAUUUAUUUAUACUUUAAUGCCAAAAUUUUAACCUAAGGCGAACUUAAUCUCACAUUUAAUAUAUUAUACAUAAAUAAGUGUUUUGAGAAGUAGUAUUUUAAUCUAUGUUCUGUGAAUGACAAGUGUUAUCUGUCAAGUGUCAAAAAACUUGAAAAACUUUUACGAAGUUUUUGAAUUAUGUUAAAUUUGUUUAUAAACACAAGUAAGUAUAGAUUAUUACACUAAAUUAAGGCAUUCUAUCAAAAAUGAAAACAACCCAAGUUUCAAUAACUACUCCUGUAACUUUGGUUUCUUCAUAUCAAAUAAUCAAUUUCAUUUUCAGUGCCAAAGGCAAGAAUAAUUGCCCACGCCAGAUGGAGACCCAGCUAAAUAAUGUAGUAACAGCGCGUGGUCGUGUGAUGAGGGUUCCUUGACUUGAGUUCUGGCGCAACACGUCCUGGGCACUAAACAAGAUUGGGGAUGGGACGUCUAAAGAGGUGCAAGCCUGGAAAACGCUCUCGUCUUGCUCUACAGCACUUGCACUUGUCCCACCAUCUACCAGUGUUGGAACUCUUCCAAUAAUUACCCACACCCAGGUGGAGAAUACUCCAGUUGCUGCUACUGCUACUCUAAAAUAUCUCUCAUCUUGUUCUACAGCGCCUGCACCUGUCCUACCAUCUACUAGUGUUGGAACUCUUCGAAGUGUAUUAAUGAUUAUUAUUUUAGUAACCAUAAAAGUUUAAAACAAUACAUUUUAUUGCAUAAUUAUUUGUUAGAAAAAAAUGAUGUAAAAUGAGUAGGGAGGCUGUUGAUUUUUCAUGGUUAUUUUAUAUCUUGUUGAUUGUUCCAAAAAAAACUAAGUUUUCAAGAAUGCUGUGAUUAAAGUACCCAUAGUAUUAUAUUUAAAAUGAAAACUUAGUUUGUAAAGAGACGAAGGCUGACCACAAAAGAAGUACUUAUAGCUGUCUGUGUCUGUGUAAAGAAUUUAAAUAAAAAGACGUGUAUAUUUAAACAGUUUUCUUUAUUUUAUUAGUCAUUUAUUCCUGUAAAUAAGCCCACACAGGGCACUUUUACAUGUCCCAACGUAACUUUACCCUACCACUUUGGCAGUAUUGUGGGUUAAGGCUGAUUAAAACGUGUUAAGUAGAUAAGUAGGUACCUACCUAACUACUUUAUUAACUUAAUUUUAAGUAAUUAAUUGCGUAGUAGUAUAGUACAAAACUUAGUAGUAAGUUUCAAGUCAAAAUUUAGAUUGUGCUUGUGUUUUAAGUAGAUGCAAUUUAAUCACGUAAAAUUAAGUGAAAAACACUUAUCUACUUAACACGUGUAACUCAGCUUUUAGUGCUAUAGUUGUUGAUGAAAAAGAACUCUUGUGUCUCACUAAAACUUAUUUCCAUUAACACCAAGCACUCACCGCUUACCACACUUUAUCUUUCAAAGAAAUAAAUUAAUUGCAUACGAGGACGAGGAUAGAAUUACACCUCUAUGAGAAUUUAUACGAUUAUCAUGAGUUACGAGUCACCGCAAUCAUUUGACAUUAGCAAUGGGCUCAUGAAACUUAGACAAUUCGAAUUUUCUGUCAAAAUCAUAUUCAUCAUUCACUCAUCGUAUAAAAUUACGAUCAAAUCGUUAUCAUAUCGUUAUCGUUUUAUGAACUCCUUACACAAUUAGAAUUAGCCGUUUGACACAUCAUAACGUACGUUAUGAACUGUCAAAUGAAUACGAUUGCCUUAGACAAUCGCACCACAGUUCA